GUAUUUCCGCCGGCGCGAAACGAGCGUAGCUUCCUUGUCGUGUGGCCUCAGUCCUUCGCCGUCCCUCGCCGUCCUUCGCCAUCGCACGCCACCGCACCCCAUCUCUCGAAAUCUGCAGACAUCUUGAUUUUUCCCACGCUGUCUGUCAGGUCUCCGCCGCCACUCGACGCCAGGGCGCCGGGUGAGUCCACAGCAGGGCGCAUGGUCGGCUCCACUCUCACCAUCGGGGGAAACUGAGGCCCCGGGGAAGGCGGCCAGAGAGGUCAGGCCCUGUCCUUGGUGCAGUGUCUCGUCCUCUUUGCCGGAGUGAGCCCCCCAGGAUUCGCGUGUCCUCGGGAAAGACACUGGCAGGCCUUGUGGGCUGUGCUGCACCUCGGACGGCUUCGCACCAGCCAGCGCCCUCUCUCUCCUGCAGCACUCUGAUCUGCACCCCCUGAGGGGCUUCCACUGUCCGCGGGGUGAGAAUGCCCCUGGGAGUGUCACAUGACUGCCGCCCCAUGUGUGUGAGAGGCGUCCUCUGGGAGAGCAUGGAUCCUGAGGUCCCAGGAUUGUCAGCUGACCUCUGUCCUGUGUGCCCAGUGGCCCCAGGUGACGUGUCUUCAAGAAGAGGCUGAGCUGCGGUGCUUGUAAGAGUCAUGUGCUGUUCCUGGGGCUUGGAUGAUGUAGGGGAAGCAAGGUGAAAGUGGUAUCCCGUGGUUCCACGUUCUGUCCUGCUGUGGGGCUGUCCCUCACAUGCUUUCAGUGGCUGUUGCAGAGGAAGAGCCUCCGGAAAUCUGCGUGGGUCUCAGCCUUAGAUCCAAGGACAGUCCAAGGAAGUCCUAAGACCAUGGAGUUGGUGAUCUGGGAUCUGGGUUUGCUGAUAUUUCUCACCGUGAAUCUCUUGGUGGUGUUUGUGGGCACGAGAGGGGCAGAGAAUGGAGAGUGAGGCUACCACAUGAAGCGUCACCAGAGCUGCUCCCUGCUGCCUGCUCAGAGCACCCCGGAUCCACUGUUCAAUCUGCACAAGAUUCGGGGUCCAGACAUGGGAGACUUCAGCUGCCUCAGAGGACCGUGGACAGGGAAGGCCAGCCUCGCAUCCCUCUGUCCAUGCCUGGAAUGACUUUAAUAACCAAGAGUUUUAUUUUUGAAUUUGUAGCUGUCGUUCACUUUUUACCCACCCAUUCAAUAAACCUUACAGAAUUGCUCCAAAAAAAAAAAAAAAAAA
rnacentral:sRNA from 1 species